rnacentral:rRNA from 1 species
GACGAACGCUGGCGGCGUGCUUAACACAUGCAAGUCGAGCGGUAAGGCCCUUUUGGGGGUACACGAGCGGCGAACGGGUGAGUAACACGUGGGUGACCUGCCCUCAGCUCUGGGAUAAGCCUGGGAAACUGGGUCUAAUACUGGAUAUGACCUUUCCUCGCAUGGGGUUGGGUGGAAAGUUUUUCGGCUGGGGAUGGGCCCGCGGCCUAUCAGCUUGUUGGUGGGGUGAUGGCCUACCAAGGCGACGACGGGUAGCCGGCCUGAGAGGGCGACCGGCCACACUGGGACUGAGACACGGCCCAGACUCCUACGGGAGGCAGCAGUGGGGAAGUAUUGCGCAAUGGGCGGAAGCCUGACGCAGCGACGCCGCGUGGGGGA